rnacentral:rRNA from 1 species
AGUGAACGCUGGCGGUAGGCCUAACACAUGCAAGUCGAACGGCAGCACAGUAAGAGCUUGCUCUUACGGGUGGCGAGUGGCGGACGGGUGAGGAAUACAUCGGAAUCUACUUUUUCGUGGGGGAUAACGUAGGGAAACUUACGCUAAUACCGCAUACGACCUACGGGUGAAAGCAGGGGAUCUUCGGACCUUGCGCGAUUGAAUGAGCCGAUGUCGGAUUAGCUAGUUGGCGGGGUAAAGGCCCACCAAGGCGACGAUCCGUAGCUGGUCUGAGAGGAUGAUCAGCCACACUGGAACUGAGACACGGUCCAGACUCCUACGGGAGGCAGCAGUGGGGAAUAUUGGACAAUGGGCGCAAGCCUGAUCCAGCCAUACCGCGUGGGUGAAGAAGGCCUUCGGGUUGUAAAGCCCAUUUGUUGGGAAAGAAAAGCAGUAGGUUAAUACCCCGCUGUUCUGACGGUACCCAAAGAAUAAGCACCGGCUAACUUCGUG